GGGGCUGCCCAGAUUUAGUAAAAUCUUGCAACGUGAGCCAGAAAACUGAAAAUGAAGCAUGGAGCAACAACUAGCACUUUGCAUUCUGUGUUCCUGACGCUGUUACAGAUAAAGCUCCAAGAAGGCAACUGGCUCGUGCAAGGGGACAUACCGUCUAUUUGGAAAGACCUCAGUUCCGGAAGCCUGUUCACACGCACUAUCCUAGCGAAGCUUCCCGAGGCUGCGAGGAAAAGAGAGAAUUCUUCGUAUUUCGGAAGUGCCCUGCCCUGCCCUGACCUGCUCAGGCUUAGGAUCCCACAGCCAGGGGAGGUGGGGUUCAGAUUGGGGUCUUCUGAGCCCAGCUCUGCUGAUCCUCAGUAGCCCACCUGGCAGCCUCCACCAGUCCCGAGGCCCCGAGCUGUAGAGAACAAGGUUACAAGAGGCGAGUUUAUUUUAUUUUAUUUUUUUUUACGGAUUUUAUUUAUUCAUUCAUGAGAGACAGAGAGAGAGACAGAGGGAGAAGCAGGCUUCCUGUGGGGAGCCCGACACAGGACUCGAUCCCAGGACCUCGGGGUCACGCCCUGGGCUGAAGGCAGGUGCUAAACCGCUGAGCCACCUGGGCUGCCUUUCCUUGUGCUUUUAAAAUGUUCCUAAAUGGCAUUAAGUUUAAAGGAUUAUAGUGUUAAAUUAUUUCUAUUACAUAUAUACAUAUUUUUCAUGGCCUUUAGAUAUCAGAUUGGAUUGAGAAGUGACUGCACAAAAUCUGGCUCAAUUAUGAAAGAUAAAGCCUAUCAGCAGUACAGUGUCUUCGGUGGGCAAAAUCAAAUUGUUUACGACUACCAGAUACUUUCUAAGCUCCCCAAGGACCACAUAGGAUAGGUUUUAUGGUACAGCUGUAAUACUGAGGCAUAGAGACAGUAAGUAAUUUGCCUAAAAAUCAAAAGCUGCGAGGCUUUUGAUCCUGGAGACCCAGGAUCAAGUCCCACAUCAGACUCCCUGCAUAGAGCCUGCUUGUGUCUCUGCCUCUCUCUCUAUGUCUCUCAUGAAAAAAUAAACACAAUGUUUAAAAUACGAAAAAAUAAAAG
rnacentral:lncRNA from 1 species